rnacentral:rRNA from 1 species
CCUACGGGAGGCAGCAGUGAGGAAUAUUGGUCAAUGGUCGGGAGACUGAACCAGCCAAGCCGCGUGAGGGAGGAAGGUACAGAGUAUCGUAAACCUCUUUUGUCAGGGAACAAAGGCGGGGACGUGUCCCCGGAUGAGUGUACCUGAAGAAAAAGCAUCGGCUAACUCCGUGCCAGCAGCCGCGGUAAUACGGAGGAUGCGAGCGUUAUCCGGAUUUAUGGGGUUUAAAGGGUGCGCAGGCGGUCUGUUAAGUCAGCGGUCAAAGCCCGGGGCUCAACCCCGGCCCGCCGUUGAAACUGGCAGUCUCGAGUUGGAGAGAAGUAUGCGGAAGGCGCGGUGUAGCGGUGAAAUGCAUAGAUAUCGCGCAGAACUCCGAUUGCGAAGGCAGCAUGCCGGCUCCACACUGACGCUGAGGCACGAAAGCGUGGGUAUCGAACAGGAUUAGAUACCCUAGUAGUC